rnacentral:lncRNA from 1 species
ACUCCUCCGCGCACGGGUGCCAGGUUAUGCAACUUGUUGUUGCUUUCUCAAACGAGAAACUCCUCCAUGCACGGGCGCGAGGUUACGCAACUUGUUGUUGCUUUCUCAAACGAAAAACUCCUCCGCGCACGGGCGCGAGGUCGUGCAACUUGUUGUUGCUUUUAUACAUGAGAAACUCCUCCGCGCACGAGCGCGAGGUCACGCAACUUGUUGUUGCUUUCAUACAU